AUGACGAUGGUGGUCAUGCUCAUGCGCAAGCGACGCCCCCUUGCUCGUUUCGACAACCUCGCCGCCCUUCUCCUCCUCGCGCCACUCACCGUCGCACAGCCGCUGCCGUGGCAGCUCUGCGACACCACCGCCGGGAACUACACCGAGGGCAGCGCCUACCAAGCCAACAUACGCGUCCUCGCCAGCGGCUUCCCCAGGAACGCCUCGGCGUCCCCGGCCCUUUUCGCCAAGGGCUCGGCCGGUACGGCACCAGACGUCGUCUACGCUCUCGCGCUCUGCCGCGGCGACACCAACGCCUCCUCCUGCGCGGCGUGCGGCGCCACCGCCUUCCAGAACGCUCAGCAGCUCUGUGCCUUCAACAUGCGCGCCACCAUGUUCGACAACCCCUGCUGUUGUCGUAAUCUUCAGUUUCAGGUUCAGUAG
rnacentral:rRNA from 1 species